AGUGAACGCUGGCGGUAGGCCUAACACAUGCAAGUCGAACGGCAGCACAGUAAGAGCUUGCUCUUACGGGUGGCGAGUGGCGGACGGGUGAGGAAUACAUCGGAAUCUACUUUUUCGUGGGGGAUAACGUAGGGAAACUUACGCUAAUACCGCAUACGACCUACGGGUGAAAGCAGGGGAUCUUCGGACCUUGCGCGAUUGAAUGAGCCGAUGUCGGAUUAGCUAGUUGGCGGGGUAAAGGCCCACCAAGGCGACGAUCCGUAGCUGGUCUGAGAGGAUGAUCAGCCACACUGGAACUGAGACACGGUCCAGACUCCUACGGGAGGCAGCAGUGGGGAAUAUUGGACAAUGGGCGCAAGCCUGAUCCAGCCAUACCGCGUGGGUGAAGAAGGCCUUCGGAUUGUAAAGCCCUUUUGUUGGGAAAGAAAAGCAGCAGGUUAAUACCCCGCUGUUCUGACGGUACCCAAAGAUUAAGCACCGGCUAACUUCGUG
rnacentral:rRNA from 1 species